UACGAAGGGGCUAGCGUUGUUCGGAUUUAUUGGGCGUAAGAGCUCGUAGGCGGUUUGUCGCGUCUGCUGUGAAACGCGAGGCUCAACCUCGCGCCUGCAGUGGGUACGGGCAGACUGGAGUGCGGUAGGGGAGAUUGGAAUUCCUGGUGUAGCGGUGGAAUGCGCAGAUAUCAGGAGGAACACCGAUGGCGAAGGCAGAUCUCUGGGCCGUAACUGACGCUGAGGAGCGAAAGCGUGGGGAGCGAACAGG
rnacentral:rRNA from 1 species